rnacentral:rRNA from 1 species
AUGGCAGGCGAACCUGGAGGAUCGCAGAGGAGGGGGGCCAAGGAGAGUACGGACGAUCUGCUGGCCCAGUUGAACUUGCAGGAAGAAGAAGAGGAUGACUUCGUAUGGGAGGAGGAGCUUCCAGAUCUGUUGGCGCCGGCCAAGUGGUUGGAGAUUGCUAAGGCUCACACCCAAACUUUUAGCCGGGGCGCUCUGUAUGGUGACAUGCGCGCGGCAUGGAACCCGGCUAGACCGGUGAUUUGGAGGAGAGUGAACGACAACCUGUUCACGACGCAUUUCGGGUGUCUAGCGGAUUGGAACAAGGCCAUGUUUGAAGGUCCAUGGUUCUUCAGGGGACAGGCAGUGAUCAUGCAGGAGUACGACGGGUUCAAGAAGCCCGAAUCCAUCCCUCUGGAAAUAUUGACGGUGUGGGCGCAGAUUCACCGCCUACCAGACAACUUCCUGAUUGAGCAGGUAGUACGAGGGAUGGCCUCUCGCAUUGGAGAGGUUGAAGAGGUUCAGCUUAGGCUACCAGUGGGCUAUUUUGGAGAAUUUGUUCGAGUCAAAGUCAAGAUCGAUAUCAAUGCAAAGAUAAAACUUUUGUCACUGGGAAGAAGGGAGAGGAAAGAGUUAGAUAUCAAGUGA